rnacentral:rRNA from 1 species
GACAGAGGGUGCAAGCGUUGUUCGGAAUUACUGGGCGUAAAGGGCGCGUAGGCGGCCCGCUAAGUCGAACGUGAAAUCCCCGGGCUCAACCCGGGAACUGCGUCCGAUACUGGCAGGCUUGAAUCCGGGAGAGGGAUGCGGAAUUCCAGGUGUAGCGGUGAAAUGCGUAGAUAUCUGGAGGAACACCGGUGGCGAAGGCGGCAUCCUGGACCGGCAUUGACGCUGAGGCGCGAAAGCGUGGGGAGCGAACAGG